rnacentral:rRNA from 1 species
GGACGGGGACGGGUGUGCGGACGAUUAGCUAGUUGGCGGGGCAACGGCCCACCAAGGCGACGAUCGUUAGCUGAUGUGAGAGCAUGGUCAGCCACACGGGCACUGAGACACGGGCCCGACUCUUACGGGAGGCAGCAGUAAGGAAUAUUGGUCAAUGGGCGCAGGCCUGAACCAGCCAUGCCGCGUGGAGGACGAAGGCCCUCCGGGGUCGUAAACUCCUUUUACCCGGGACGAAAAAAAGCCCUUUUGAGGGCACUUGACGGUACCGGGGGAAUAAGCACCGGCUAACUCCGUGCCAGCAGCCGCGGUAAUACGGAGGGGUGCGAGCGUUAUCCGGAUUCACUGGGUUUAAAGGGUGCGCAGGCGGGCUUUUAAGUCAGCGGUGAAACCCGCGGGCUCAACCCGCGGACUGCCGAUGAUACUAGGGGCCUUGGAUGUCGCUGAGGGCAGCGGAAUGGGGCAUGUAGCGGUGAAAUGCAUAGAUAUGCCCCGGAACACCGAUUGCGGAGGCAGCUGCCUAAAGGACGAUCGACGCUGAGGCACGAAAGCGUGGGUAGCGAACAGGAUUAGAUACCCUGGUAGUCCACGCCCUAAACGAUGAUUACUCGACGUCCGCGGCAUACUGUGGGCGUCCAAGCGAAAGCA